rnacentral:rRNA from 1 species
UGCCAGCCGCCGCGGUAAUACGAAUGGUGCAAGCGUUGUUCGGAAUCACUGGGCAUAAAGCGCGCGUAGGCGGCGGCGUCAGUCAGUUGUGAAAUCCCUCGGCUCAACCGAGGAACUGCAACUGAUACUGCGUCGCUAGAGUGUGGGAGGGGAGAGUGGAAUUCCUGGUGGAGCGGUGAAAUGCGUAGAUAUCAGGAGGAACGCCGGGGGCGAAAGCGACUCUCUGGCCCACAACUGACGCUGAGGUGCGAAAGCUAGGGGAGCGAACAGGAUUAGAUA